UGCUCAAACUGGGCAAUCAACCUUCCUGGAGGGCAGAUAAAAGCUCUCCCGUCUGGCUCAGGUGAUAAAGGUCUAGGGAGGGAGAGUUUCAGGAAGCCUCUGCCUGCCCCUCCACCCCACCCCUUCUCAGUGUGGCUUUUGUGCCGGCCACACUGAUGCUGCCCCUGGCCCCACCAUGAGCAGGGUCACCCUGCCUGGCCUGUUCCUGCCCCCUUUCCGCCCUCGCCAGCAGCUGCCUGCCUGCCUGCCAAGUGCCUGCCUAAUCCAGGAGCGCUUCCUGAGCCGCCCCUCGCUGGCUGCCCUUUUGUUUCUGGAAUUCAGGCAGCUCAGCAGAGGGGCUGGCUUCGUGCACCCAGCUGCUUCGAGCUGCCUUAGGUCAAGAGUGCUCCGGGAGGAAUGCGAUCCUUAGAGCAAAGCCCUUGUAAUGGAUGCCUUCCCCCGCUCCCUGGCGCCCCCCCUCACAAUUGGGUUAGGGGAAUAAUUGGCCAGACUCUCAACAAACAGGGUAGGCAUGCUGGCGACCUGGUUUGUUGUUCAUUUCCCAAAGAAUCACCCUGCUCUGAGGUGCUGAGCAGAAGUGAAGGCUCAGUCUUUGCAGAGCAUGUGGAGGCAGGCAGCUUUCUCUGCACUGCCACCCCCCUCUCCCCACCCCAGCCCAGCUAUAAACCCUCAGGUAGAAUGUCUCCUUCAUCAGUACAAAUCAGGAUCCUUUGAGAGCCCGACAGAGGCAGAUAAGCUCAACUUAUCUGAAGGUUGAUUACCCAGUUUGAGGGAAAGGCAGGCAAGUGCUGUUAAGUGCCACACGCUUUACAUUAUGACAGUGUGACCUCCUUUUCAGGUGAGGACACCGGGGUUCAGAAUUCACAUGUCCAGGGUUAGUAAACAGUAGAGGUGAGAUUUCACCCCAGAACUGCCUAAUGUUGCAAUCCGUGCCAGGCUGUUCCCCUAAAUGUAGAGGAGUGUAUCUGGAACAGGGAGGGAUGUCCUUGUGUUCAUUCUUAUUUUUUAACUGACUUUGUGUUUCAGGCAGUUUUAGGUUCACAGCGUAUUGAACAGGAGGUACAGAGAUGUCGCAUGUACCCCGCCUCCCCUCCACAUCCACAGCCUCCUCCACUAUCAACAACCCCCACCAGAAUCUGGGUCCAUUUGUUAACAAGUCAGUGAAGCUACAAAUCCUCACCUCAAGAGCAGCCAGUGAGGGGCGGCUCAGGAAGCACUCCUGUAGUGGACCUACAUAAACACAUUACCCCGAGACCACAGUUUACACUGGCGUUCACUCUUGGUGGUGUACAUUCUGUGAGUUUGGACAAAUGUGGAAUGACAUGUCUCCACCAUUAUAGUACCAUACCCAGUAGUUUAACUGCCCUGAAAGUCCUCUGUGCUCCCCCUGUUUAUCUCUCCCCCACCCAACCUCUGGCAUCCACUGAUCUUUUUUUCACUUUCUCCAUAGUUUUUCCUAGUCCAGAUUGUCAUAUAGUUGGAAUCAUAGUAUGUAGGCUUUUCAUAUUGCCUUCUUUCACUUAGUAACAUGUAUGUAUGUUUCCUCCUUGCCUUCUGAUGGAUGUUCGUUCCUUUUUUUAACUUAUGCAGAGAUUUUUUUUUUUGAGCACCUGCCCCUAUGCCAGGCUCUGGGCAGUUGGUUUGGCAGGGUAGAUGUGGCUCCUGCUCUUUGCGGCUAGAGUUUAGCAGGAAGAGACACAUAAAUAAGUAAAUAUCUGGCCUUGAAGAACAGCGUGCUAACAAGGGGCACCUGAUUUAGAAUGAUGAGGGAUCAGAGAAAGCCUCUCUUUAUAAGUGAUGAUUAAACCUGUCUGAGGGAUGAGCAGAAGUGGAACUGGGGAGCAUCACAGACAGCUGUUCUCCUUCCUAGAAGCCUGCACACCCUUGAGAACAGCCUUUUCCAUGAAGCCCUACCUGCUGACUCCUUGAGCUAUUAUUGCCUGUUCCAAAGGUCCAUAGCUGUUUUAUGUACCGAUGGCUUCCUCAGAGAAUCUGCUCAAGCCAGUGGGCUCUUUCUGCAGGAGGGUGUGCAGAGGAAAGACAUACAGCAUCUCGCUUUGAGCUUUUCCUACACAAGGGAAAAUGCAGAGGAUGGGAGUGAAGCUCUGUCGGGCUGAGCUAAAACCAGAGAGAAGUCAGGACGUUGCAUAUCUGACUUCUUGUGUUUGGAGCCUUUGAACCGCCUGGAUGAGGGCAGUGCAACCCGGGCCAAAGGUCACUUCGCUAAUUUCCGGCAGCUGUUGCUUAUGGAACACUAAGUAUCUGAGAUUGUUGUUGCUUCUUGUAAAAAGCCUUAGAACCCUCUGCUUAGAGGAAAUACCCAAGUAGGCUGCAAGCUUGUGGGGGCUGCUGGAGGGUGGGGAGGGGGUCCUGGUGAUGAGAGGGCUGCAACAGCAAAUUGGCUGCUGCUACCAGCUGUCUGGCUAUAAGCCAGGGCAAGACUGAGAGAUCUUCCCUGCAAGGCCACUCUACUCUAAACCCUUUACUGUCAUUGCCCUGCUCCAAACCCUUCACUGGCUCCCAUUGCCCACAGGGCAGGCGGGAUAUCUUACAUGUUAGGUCCCUUCAGUCGUGUCUAACUCUUGUGACCCCAUGGACUGUAGCCUGCCAGGCUCCUCUGUCCAUAGGAUUUUCUAGGCAAGAAUACUGGAGUGGGUUGCCAUGCCCUCCUCCAAGGGAUCUUCCCAACCCAGGGAUUGAACCUGUGACUCUUACAUCUUCAGCAUUGGCAGGCGUGUUCUUUACCAUCUUAGCAGGACAUAUAGACUGAGACCCUGUCCACCCUUGCAACCUGCUUUGUUCAAGCAUACUCUCCCUCUCUGGCUGUUCCAAGGGCUCCAGCUUCCCCAGACGAGACACCAGUGUGGCCUUGCAGGUGCUGUGUUUCCAGCUGAACUUCCUUUUCCCCUUCAUCUUCAACAGGGCAGUGGCAAAACAGGAGUACGAGUAGACCCAGACUCGCACCCUCAAGGAGCUUGAAGUCCCGUGGUGGUAGCAUGAAUCCAUCAAACAAUGAAGAUGAAAAAUACCCAAAGAAGUCAAAUCCUUUCCUUAAAGAAGUGAAGAUUUUGUCCAU